UUCAUUAAUUAAUUAAUUUGUUCAUUCCUCUUCAUUCAUCCCUUACGCGAAGCCAAUUGCAAAAACGAGAACGCGUAUAUCUUCAUUCCCAAAUCGCCAAAUCCCUAAAAAUCCCAAAGCGCCAUCUUCAUUGAAUCCAAUCAUUCCCAAUUUCUUCAAUCAUUCUCCAAUCUCUUCGCUUUCAUUCGUUUUGAUUCGGUUUCAUUCUCCAAACCCUAGACGGCCGACCCCUUUUUCAUUCGUUGUCAACGAUUUCAUCCCGUCCUCGAUUCCCUUUUGUUCGCCGUCAACGAUUCCCUUCCAUCAACCUUCAGUUCUCAUCACCGUUGAACUCAAGCCGCCGUUUCUUCGAUUCUCAUCAUAAACCCAGUCGCUGUUUCGUCCAUUCUCUAGUAAUCUAUAGCUAAGGUACAGAUUGGUAUUGAAGGUUUGUGUUUGAUGAAGAUUGAGAAAGAUUGCAAAAAAUAUAGGCUCAUGGUGCAUUGAUGAUAGUGUAUAUAAGAGGUAUAAUAUUAUCAAGGUUUGUCUGUGGGAAAUGGAUUCUAAACUGAAAUUAUCAAAGAGACCUAUUCUUGGUAUAAAGGUUUGGGCAAUAAUUUCAAUUUUGGUUCGUUUGUCAACUAUAAUUCUCACUGUUCUUUGACUGUUUUACUUCAAGAAAGAAAUCUAGAAAAGAAAAUGAACUUGGUGAAGGCUGGAUAUGGAGUGGUUUAUUAGGGACAGUUGAUCAAUGGGAGUGCAUUAACAGUUAAAAAGAUACUCAAUAAUAUGGACUUGAGUUGUAUGGUGAUACAAGAUUUUUGCUUUAUGGGCCUCCAAGUUGUGGUAGAACACAAAUUGCCAAAACUGUUACCAAUGAGGCGGGAUCUAAUUUCAUUUAUAUUAAGUUCGUGGCUGUGAAGUGAAGACUGCUACAUAACUCAUCAAGUAGCCACUCAUCCAAAUUAGCUUAACUCAGUCAACUAUCUCUAUGCUUAAAUUAAAUGAUGGUAAUGAUACUCUUUGUUUUGUACGCUUCUUUGGAAAUUAUGGACUGCUAGAAACAAUGCUGUGUUUAAUGGUAUCUGGCUGGACCCUGUUCGGUUGGCUGAGGAGGCCAUGUCCUUUGUCCAUGAAUUCAAUGCGGCAAAUCCUACACGAAGGGGACGAAUUUCUAGCUCUCUGGCCAAUAACCUUUAUUGCAGUGGAACCAGUCAUGGCAGAGGCGUUGGGAAUUAGACGGGCCUUUCAACUUGCUCGGGAAAGGUCUAAACUCUUUCUCUAUUUUUUCUGACGCAGCAAAUGUGGUGGACUGCAUCUAUAACAAGGUGAAAAUUGCAGCCAUUGAAAUGGUGGUCCAAGACUGUAGGGAGGUGUUGUAUGGUAUGUCAAAUGUUAGUGUCUUGUUUGUUGGUAGAAGUCUUAAUGUUGAUGCUCAUAACAUGGCCUCUUUGGUAGAAGUCUUGUUUGUUGGCCUAAUUAGGAUGGUUUUAAUGAUAAUGUUAAGUAUUGACUUUUAAUGUGUUGAAUGUAACUUUGUUAGCUUGUUAAUUAGGAAUUGACAAUGACUUGUGGAAAAUAAUAUUCGGAAUUAUGUCAAUUUUCUUGUGCGUUA